rnacentral:rRNA from 1 species
AGUGAACGCUGGCGGUAGGCCUAACACAUGCAAGUCGAACGGCAGCACAGUAAGAGCUUGCUCUUACGGGUGGCGAGUGGCGGACGGGUGAGGAAUACAUCGGAAUCUACUUUUUCGUGGGGGAUAACGUAGGGAAACUUACGCUAAUACCGCAUACGACCUACGGGUGAAAGCAGGGGAUCUUCGGACCUUGCGCGAUUGAAUGAGCCGAUGUCGGAUUAGCUAGUUGGCGGGGUAAAGGCCCACCAAGGCGACGAUCCGUAGCUGGUCUGAGAGGAUGAUCCGGCCCCCCUGAACUUAGGCACGGUCCCAGCUCCCUCGGGGAGCCACAGGGGGGAAAUUUUGGACAUGGGGGGCAACCCUAACCAAGCAAACCGCGUGGGUGAAGAAGGCCUUCGGGUUGUAAAGCCCUUUUGUUGGGAAAGAAAAGCAGCAGGUUAAUACCCCGCUGUUCUGACGGUACCCAAAGAAUAAGCACCGGCUAACUUCGUG